rnacentral:rRNA from 1 species
GGGAUUAGAUACCCCACUAUGCUUAGCCUUAAACCUAGAUGCUGAAUUUACAAGCAACAUCCGCCAGGGUACUACAAGCGCUAGCUUAAAACCCAAAGGACUUGACGGUGUCUCAGACCCACCUAGAGGAGCCUGUUCUAGAACCGAUAAUCCCCGUUAAACCUCACCACCCCUUGUUUUCUCCGCCUAUAUACCGCCGUCGCAAGCUUACCCUGUGAAGGUCUAAUAGUAAGCAAAAUGGGUAUAUCCCAAAACGUCAGGUCGAGGUGUAGCUUACGAGGUGGGAAGAAAUGGGCUACAUUUUCUAUACCAGAAUAAUACGAAUAGCACCAUGAAAUUGGUGCUCGAAGGUGGAUUUAGUAGUAAAAAACAAAUAGAGAGUCUUUUUGAACUAGGCUCUGAGACGCGCACACACCGCCCC